rnacentral:rRNA from 1 species
UACGAAGGGGGCUAGCGUUGCUCGGAAUUACUGGGCGUAAAGCGCACGUAGGCGGAUUGUUAAGUCGGGGGUGAAAUCCUGGAGCUCAACUCCAGAACUGCCUUCGAUACUGGCGAUCUCGAGUUCGGGAGAGGUGAGUGGAACUGCGAGUGUAGAGGUGGAAUUCGUAGAUAUUCGCAAGAACACCAGUGGCGAAGGCGGCUCACUGGCCCGAUACUGACGCUGAGGUGCGAAAGCGUGGGGAGCAAAAGGG